CCGCACAGGCGCCCCACGCACUACAACUCCCAGAGCGCCCCGCGAGCACGAGACGGAGCACGCGGGCCUCGGACAACUACACUUCCCAGGGUCCACCGCGGCCUCAGCAGGAAGCCAGGCCCACCGCACUCAGAGGACUACAACCCCCAGCACCGGCUGGGGCCCAGCGCUUCCAUCCGAGCCCUUACAGCCGCCGCCCCGCUCACCCGCGGGUCCCAGAGCCUGGAGCGAGGGAGCGAGCGAGCGAGCGAACCGGCGGGCGAGCGGGCGGGCGGGGCGCCCGCGGGUCCUGCGGCCCUGCGUUCCCUGCUCGGGGCGGGCUCGCUUCCGGGCGCGCAGAUGAGGUUUGGGAACCAGCUCCCGCUCGGGGUCCAGUGGAGACAGAAGAGGUGCCCAGGUGGAGGGACAGUUUAUGAGUCUGUGGGAAAGAAACGCAGGAAAGAAAAACAGCCCGCGACAGACACUGGGAGAGGAAAACAGAAGAAAGCAAUUCGCUGGCCCGGUGAACAGCGAACGGGGGACCCGGCUCGUUUUGGGAGCGCCCUGUGGGCGGGACGGGGCGCAGCGCUUGGGUGACAUGGUUGCCGCAGGCCGUGCCUGCACACCUCCCCGCUCUCCAACCCUGUCCCUGCAAACCUCCUCAAUCACUUUAUUUCCGUCAGAUGGUAAACACAGGAAAAGACAAGUUUAGGAGAGAAGAAAUGGAUCCUUCUGCGGACACAUUGAGAGGGACAUGUGUCUGUGUUUAGGCUUAACUACGAGUCUUGUCCGAACUUGUAUUUCUCAGCCGCAGUCUUGCCGUUUCCUCCAAAUCUCUUCAUCCAGAGGUCGGCCUGAUGUUCGUAAAAGCAGUUCCAAACGUACUCCUCUGCCUGACGUGAUGUGACGGCUUGCGACUGCCUGACGCGAAGGCAGAAGCCCUUCACGUGGUUCCUGAUGCUCCGUGCAGCCUCCCCCACCCCCCGUCCUUCCUCCGGCUCUUGCGUUGCUUCCCCUAGCCGAGCCGACCUUGCUUCCCCAGGGGACCCGAGAACGUGCUCCACUCCUGAAGACGUCGGCGCCUUCACAGCACGACUUGAUCAGGGCGUUCCUUUAUCUUUCGUAUUUCAGCUCAAGCAGCUUCGUCGGAGUCUUCUCUGAUCCCAGUGUGGUCCUCUGAAUACAGCUCCUUUGGUUGUAAAUUCUCACUGGAUCCUACGCUCUCUCGUUGUCACUUACAGUAAUUUGCAAUUAUGUCUGUUUGUCUUAUGAGUUUGCCUCUCUGGACAAAUUCUGGAAUAAUCUUGCCUAAUUCCUGCAGAAAAUACACUGGAAAUUCAGUGCAAAGAAAGAAACAAUGCAUUCCCCAUAGGGAAACAAUUAAAUGACAGUGGAUUUGUCAUCUGAAAUCAUGGAGGCCAGAAGGAGAUGGCCCAACCUUUUUCAAGUACUGAAAAAAAUACGGUAAACCCUUAAUUCUGUAUCUAGCAAAAAUGCUCUUCAGAAAUGAAGGGGAAAUAAAGGCCUUCAGAUGAAGGAAAACUAAGAUUUUGUCACCAGCAGGCCUAACUUUGAAGACUGGCUAAAGGAAGUUCUACAAUUAUAAAAGAGAUGAUAACAGGAGUGGGGUCAGAACUUCAAAGGAAAAAAAAAAGCAAGUUGUGGUAUAUGUAUACAAUGGAAUACUACUCAGCCAUAAAAAAGAAUAAAAUAAUGGCAUUUGCAGCAACAUGGAUGUACCUGGAGAUCAUCAUUCUAAAUGAAGUAAGCCAGAAAGAGAAAGAAAAAUACUAGAUGAUAUCACUCAUAUGUGGAAUCUAAAAAGAGGACACUAAUGAACUCAUCCACAAAACAGAAACAGACUCGCAGAUACAGUAAACAAUCUUAUGAUUACUGGGUGAAAGGGGGAGGGUAGGGAUAAAUUUGAGAGUUUGACAUUUGCAAAGGUUAACCACUAUAUAUAAAAAUAGAUAAAAAAUAAAUUUCUUCUGUAUAGCAUGGGAAACUAUAUUCAAUAUCAUAAUAACCUUUAAUGAAAAAGAAUACGAAAAUGAAUAUAUGUACGUAUAUGCAUGACUGGGGCAUUAUGCUGUACCCCAGAAGUUGACACAUUGUAACUGACUAUAAAAGUCAGUAAGAAAUAAUUUUUAAAAAACUGGAAUGGGUGAAAACAAAGGUAAAUAUAAUGGACUAUCUUUCUCAUGAGUUUUUAAAAUCACACUUGAUGGUUGAAACAAAAAACUGUAACACCAUCUGAUGUGGUACUUCAGUAUACAGAGAGAAGACCCUCAAUUCAGUUAUAUUAAAGAGUCAGGAGGGUAAAGGGACUUAAAUAGAAGUAAGGUUUCUGCACUUCAGUCAACAUGGUAAAAUGUCAAUGUAGAUUGUGUUACGUAAGGUUUGUGUGUUGUAAUACCUAGUGAAACCACACACAAAAACUAUACAAAGAGAUAGGCUCAAAAAUACUUGCCAUAAUUAAAAUAAUUCUAAACAAUGCUCAGGUAACCCACAGAAAAACAAGACAGUGGAAAAGAGGUAUGAGCUAUGCUUACGUACAAAAACAGUACCUACACACAUUUAACUGGGAUUAUGCUGUAUUAUUUUGUUGCUGUUUUUCCUUUUUCUUAAACAUACUAGAUAAUUCUCACCAAUGACGCUUUCCCCUGCCUACAACCCUCGGUACUCCCUACUACAACCCUCUGUACUACAACCCUCUCCACUCAAAUUUUUCCCAAAAAGUCCUUUUAAAACUACUCCAUCCAAUUGUAGCUUCUCUUACACCCGAAUUAAUCGCUGUCAUAUUGCUUUUUUUUUUU